GUGUGCAUCAAGUUAACACUUAACUUAACACCAAACUGUACACUUGAAAAGUCGUGAUAUCAACAAAGUUGGCAUUAAAUUAAAGUCGUGAUGUCAACAAAGGUGGUUCCACAUUCUAAAAUCAAUUCAAAUACUUAAGGCAUAAAUAAACUCAUAAUUCUUAGAAAUGUGCUUCUACAAACGGAUUCAAAGGCUAAAUUCUUCUCAAAUUUCAAUGGCGUAUUGCCAUCGAAUAAGACUAAAGAUAAUUUACUAACCGAGCAGAGGGAGCCAUGGCUGCAUUGGCCACGCCAAGAUGCAAAUAAUCACAACUAUGCUCGAUUUCCUUCAGACGCAUUCAAAAGACUAAAGAUAAAUUACUAAACUUACGAAUAUGCCAAUGAAGCAAGGGUAUGGUAAGAAGAUUAGCAAACCAAAUCCCGACUUGGUAUCGUUCAUCUUGCGAACUCGAACUCAAGUCUAGAGCUAGACCAAGACCAAAUGCAAAUGGGUCGUUACCUGAAACCCACCAGAUUGUUGUUACCAUACAACCUUGAGCCCAAACCAACCCGACCCAGUACACACACUCCGAUCU
rnacentral:lncRNA from 1 species